GGCAAAGUUGAAUAUCUAGUUGUCCUCUCCCCAUAGAGAUUAUUCUCCCAUUGUUUGCCUUAGAGGUCAUGAAGUAUAUUUUCAUUAAUAAGAUGUAAAAUAGUGGCCUCUCCUUCUAGAAAAUCUCAGAAAAAGGAGGCGAAGAGAAUGUGAGCUCUUCUGCCUACUGAAGAGACACUGGCAUGUCAGGACAUGGAAUGUGACCUUCAAAGAGUAGAGAAGGUCUUGGAGUUGAUAGAUGCAGCCUGGGUCACCAGGAUUGAACCUUUCACAGAGCAUAAUCCAGAUGAGCAGGUAACUCACCUGAGGCCAACACACCUGUGCUGUUCCUAAGCCACAGUCUGGAGAGCCCUGAAAUCCACAUUGAGACUUCCUACCACCCUGCCCAAGACAUGAAUCUCUCCAAUGAGAAGACGAAUAGUAGUUAGAACACUGGCUUUCUUCCCCAAGUGAGGUCAAUAAGGGUGGCUGUGA
rnacentral:lncRNA from 1 species